rnacentral:rRNA from 1 species
UAGCGGCGGGNUUAACACAUGCAAGUCGAGGGGCAGCAUGAAAUUUAUUUAUUUAGAUUUUGAUGGCGACCGGCGGACGGGUGCGUAACACGUAUGUAACCUACCUUUUUCUAGAAAAUAGCCUGAGGAAACUCGGAUUAAUGUUCUAUAAUACAGUAUUUUCGCAUGAAAAUAUUAUUAAAGCAGAAAUGCGGAAAAAGAUGGGCAUGCGCCGAUUAGUUAGUUGGUGGGGUAAAAGCCUACCAAGACGAUGAUCGGUAGGGGGCCUGAGAGGGUGAUCCCCCACACUGGUACUGAGAUACGGACCAGACUCCUACGGGAGGCAGCAGUGAGGAAUAUUGGUCAAUGGAGGAAACUCUGAACCAGCCACGCCGCGUGCAGGAAGAAUGCCUUAUGGGUUGUAAACUGCUUUUGUUUAGGAAUAAAAAUUUCUACGUGAUAAAAAUUCUGAAGGUACUAGACGAAUAAGUGUCGGCAAACUCCGUGCCAGCAGCCGCGGUAAUACGGAGGACACAAGCGUUAUCCGGAUUUAUUGGGUUUAAAGAGUGCGUAGGCGGUUUAUUAAGUCAGUAGUGAAAUGUUACAGCUUAACUGUUAAAAUGGCUAAUGAUACUGAUAGACUUGAGUUAGAUUGGAGUAACUGGAAUGUGUGGUGUAGCGGUGAAAUGCAUAGAGAUCACACAGAACACCGAUCNCNAAAGCAGGUUACUAAAUUUAUACUGACGCUGAGGCACGAAAGCGUGGGGAGCAAACAGGAUUAGAUACCCUGGGUAGGUCCACGCCGUAAACGAUGAUCACUAGUCGUUGGAUUUUAUUAUUCAGUGGCUAAGCGAAAGUGAUAAGUGAUCCACCUGGGGAGUACGACCGCAAGGUUGAAACUCAAAGGAAUUGACGGGGGCCCGCACAAGCGUGGAGCAUGUGGUUUAAUUCGAUGAUACGCGAGGAACCUUACCAAGGUUUAAAUGUACUACGAAUAAGCUAGAAAUAGUUUAGUCUUCGGACGGAGUACAAGAUGCUGCAUGGUUGUCGUCAGCUCGUGCCGUGAGGUGUUGGGUUAAGUCCCUCAACGAGCGCAACCCUCAUUGUUAGUUGCCAACGAAUAAUGUCGGGGACUCUAGCAAGACUGCCGACGUAAGUCGAGAGGAAGGUGGGGACGACGUCAAAUCAUCACGGCUCUUAUAUCUUGGGCUACACACGUGCUACAAUGGUCGGUACAAAGGGUUGCUACUGAGCAAUCAGAAGCUAAUCUCUAAAAACCGAUCUCAGUUCGGAUUGGAGUCUGCAACUCGACUCUAUGAAGUUGGAAUCGCUAGUAAUCGCAUAUCAGCCAUGAUGCGGUGAAUACGUUCCCGGGCCUUGUACACACCGCCCGUCAAGCCAUGGAAGUCGGGGGGACCUGAAAUCGGUGACCAUAAAAGGAACUGAUUAAGGUAAAAUCGAUAAC